GUGCUAUGAUGACUAGCCAUGCUAAUACUGAGAAAUUUGCUGCCAAGUUGGCUUGCUAUUUCAAUGAGUUUAAACAACAAUCUGAGCACA